rnacentral:rRNA from 1 species
UACAGACCAAGUUGUUAAGAGCUAUUGGCGGAUGCCUUGGCAUUGACAGGCGAUGAAGGAUGCGUUUACCUGCAGUAAUCUUCGGCGAGCUGGUAUAAAGCUAUGACCCGGAGGUAUCCGAAUGGGGCAACCCGGUAGAUUAAUCGUCUACCAUUAUAUGCUGAAUACAUAGGCAUAUAAAGCGACACCUGCUGAACUGAAACAUCUUAGUAAGCAGAGGAAAAUAAAUCAAAGAGAUUCCCUAAGUAGCGGCGAGCGAAAGGGGAGAAGACCAAACCACAUCAUUGGUGUGGGGUUGUAGGGUCGAUAACAUGAGAUCUUAAGUUUUAGUUGAAUACUUCUGGAAAGUAGAACGAUACAGGGUGAUAGUCCCGUAAGCGAAAGAACAAGAGACUCUAUUCGAUACCUGAGUAGGGCUAGACACGUGAAACCUAGUCUGAAUCUGGGGAGGCCACUCUCCAAGUCUAAAUACUAGUCAAUGACCUAUAGUGAGCCAGUACUGUGAAGGAAAGGUGAAAAGAACCCUUGUUAAGGGAGUGAAAUAGAACCUGAAACCAGUAGCUUAUAAGCGGUCGGAGACCUAUAGCUUCCUCGGAAGCGAUGGUUGACGGCGUGCCUUUUGCAUGAUGAGCCAGGGAGUUAAGUUAAACGGCGAGGUUAAGGGAUUUACAUUCCGGAGCCGAAGCGAAAGCGAGUUUUAAUAGAGCGUAUAGUCGUUUGAUUUAGACACGAAACCAAGUGAGCUAUUUAUGACCAGGUUGAAGCAUGGGUAAGACCUUGUGGAGGACCGAACCAGUACAUGUUGAAAAAUGUUUGGAUGAGUUGCGAAUAGGGGUGAAAGGCCAAUCAAACUUGGAGAUAUCUUGUUCUCUCCGAAAUAACUCUAGGGUUAGCCUCGGAUAUUAAGCUUUUGGGGGUAGAGCACUGAAUUCUAGCGGGGGCCUACCGGCUUACCAACGGAAAUCAAACUCCGAAUACCAAAAGCGAGUCCGGGAGAUAGACAGCGGGGGCUAAGCUUCGUUGUCGAGAGGGGAACAGCCCAGACCGCCGAUUAAGGUCCCAAAUUUUAUGCUAAGUGAGUAAGGAAGUGAUGAUUCUAAGACAGUUGGAAUGUUGGCUUAGAGGCAGCAAUCAUUUAAAGAGUACGUAACAGCUCACCAAUCGAGAAUCAUCGCGCCAAUAAUAAUCGGGGCUCAAGCAUAAAACCGACAUCGCGGGUGUAUAUUUUAUAUAUACGCGGUAGGAGAGCGUAGUAUUCAGCAGCGAAGGUAUACCGUAAGGAGUACUGGAGCGGAUACUAGUGAAGAUCCAUGGCAUAAGUAACGAUAAAGGAAGUGAAAAUCUUCCUCGCCGUAAGCACAAGGUUUCCAGGGUCAAGCUCGUCUUCCCUGGGUUAGUCGGCCCCUAAGUCGAGGCACAAAUGCGUAGACGAUGGAGUAACAGGUUAAAUAUUCCUGUACCACCUAAAACUUUAGCAAUGGAAUGACGGAGUACGUUAAGCACGCGGACGAUUGGAAAUGUCCGUAUCACAAUGAGACUGGUUAGUAGGUAAAUCCGCUAACAUAAGGUUAGGUUGUGGUUAAGGGAAAUCUUCGGAGGAACUGAUAGUGUAGCGCAAUGCUUUCAAGAAAUAAUUUCUAGCUGUUGAUGGUGACCGUACCUAAACCGACACAGGUGUGCGAGAUGAGUAUUCUAAGGCGCGCGAGAUAACUUUCGUUAAGGAACUCGGCAAAUUAUCCCCGUAACUUCGGAAGAAGGGAAGCCUUCUAGGGUGAUUACCUUUACGGUAUGAGCUCCGGGAGGCCGCAGAGAAAUGGCCCAGGCGACUGUUUAACAAAAACACAGCACUAUGCAAACCUCUAAGGGGAAGUAUAUGGUGUGACGCCUGCCCAAUGCCAAAAGGUUAAAGGAAUAUGUCAGCCGUAAGGCAAAGCAUUGAACCCAAGCCCUGGUGAAUGGCCGCCGUAACUAUAACGGUCCUAAGGUAGCGAAAUUC